rnacentral:lncRNA from 1 species
CAGCUCCUGAGCAGCUGGGCCUGACCUCCACCUUUCCCCAGGCCCUGCUCUGCAUUUUCUUCUGGGGAGAGUCCUCCAGCUCUCCCACAGCCGGCCUCUCUGCGACUGGAGUGAGUCCGCGGGGAGCAGAGGUCAGGAAACGGCCCGGCACAGGCAGGUAACUCUCCUUGCAGUGGAAGCUUGCCUGUCUGGAUGUGUCUGCUCGCUUCUUGGGGCUGCCGGGCUUGGCCUGGCUUCCUUCGUUGCAGCAAAUGCCUACCUUCAUCAGUGUGCAUCCGGCUGCAGAGGGAAAUUGAGGACCUUACACAGCAGCUAGCGGCCAUGCAGUUCUUCAAUGACAAGUUCCAGGACCUUUGAAGUUGGAGCCAGCGUCCGGAGCUGCAGCCAAGCGAGUUUCCUCCUUAUCCUCCUUAGCCAGGGCUUUUUCUCUUCCGCUGCAUUUGCCCCCUUCCCAACGCAGUUCAAAGCAGUGUGAAAUAAAGUCG